rfam:Lasallia pustulata genome assembly, contig: scaffold475_size37941
GAGACCUUAGUUUAACUGGUAAAAUAUGUGACUUUUAAUCAUCAACACAUGGGUUCAAACCCCGUAGGUCUUA